CGUGUAGGCGGUUGGCCCAGUCCGGUGUGAAAGCCCGGGGCUUAGCCUCGGAAGUGCAUCGGAAACUAGCCGACUGGAGCGCGAUAGAGGAGGGUGGAAUUCCUGGUGUAGCGGUGAAAUGCGUAGAUAUCAGGAGGAACACCGGCGGCGAAGGCGGCCCUCUGGAUCGUUGCUGACGCUGAGACGCGAAAGCGUGGGGAGCAAACAGGAUUAGAUACCCUGGUAGUCCACGCUGUAAACUAUGGGUACUAGGUGUUCGGGGUAUUGACCCCCUGAGUGCCGCAGUUAACGCAUUAAGUACCCCGCCUGGGGACUACGGCCGCAAGGUUAAA
rnacentral:rRNA from 1 species